UGUGCACACAAUAUUAAUUACUACCACCUAAAAUAUAGACAUUUCCAAUAAAAAAAAUUACUACAAAUAAAACCCCACAUUUACGUGGGUGGACCCACAGCCAAGGUGGUGGGGGCAGCUGCCACCAACAAAAAAAAAAUUAUUAAAAAAUUAUUAAAUAUUAUUAGAAAACAAAAUAUGUCCCCACCAAAAAAACUACUUUUCAUCCUUUUUCUUGGAAAGCCCAUUAAUCAAUGUACCAAAAAAAUAUAUAUUAAUAUAUAAAUUAAGGACUUACUAAUC